GUAGGGUCCAAGCGUUAAUCGGGAAUUACUGGGGCGUAAAGCGUGCGCAGGCGGCUGUGCAAGACCGAUGUGAAAUCCCCGGGGCUUAACCUGGGAAUUGCAUUGGUGACUGCACGGCUAGAGUGUGUCAGAGGGGGGUAGAAUUCCACGUGUAGCAGUGAAAUGCGUAGAGAUGUGGAGGAAUACCGAUGGCGAAGGCAGCCCCCUGGGAUAACACUGACGCUCAUGCACGAAAGCGUGGGGAGCAAACAGGAUUAGAUACCCUGGUAGUCCACGCCCUAAACGAUGUCAACUAGUUGUUGGGGAUUCAUUUCCUUAGUAACGUAGCUAACGCGUGAAGUUGACCGCCUGGGGAGUACGGUCGCAAGAUUA
rnacentral:rRNA from 1 species